rnacentral:rRNA from 1 species
UACAGAGGUCUCAAGCGUUGUUCGGAUUCAUUGGGCGUAAAGGGUGCGUAGGCGGCGCGGUAAGUCGGGGUGUGAAAUCUUGGAGCUUAACUCCGAAACUGCAUUCGAUACUGCCGUGCUUGAGGACUGGAGAGGAGACUGGAAUUUACGGUGUAGCGGUGAAAUGCGUAGAUAUCGUAAGGAAGACCAGUGGCGAAGGCGGGUCUCGUGGACAGUUCCUGACGCUGGAGGCACGAAGGCCAGGGGAGCAAACGGG